CUUUCUCUUCCCCUUCAGGUCGGAACAGAAGGAAGAAACACCAAAAUAACCUGAAAAAUAUACGAAGACAAUGAGGCUCAUAAUUCAAAAUCAUUCUUCUUAAAUUGUCUAGAGAGAGAUUGAGAGGAACAGAAGAACUAGAGAGAAAUACCCCAAUUUAACCACCCUCCCCUCCUGUCCCGAUAAUUCGACGUGCCUAUACACACACACACACGUAUAUACAUCGUAUAUAUACUGUAUAUGCAUGCGGAUAUACGUGUACGUAUUACGUAUCUCUGUUGUGUGCUUUGAAUUGGCGGAGGAAUCUGACUUUGCAUUCUGAUUUGGUGGCCUAGGGUUUCGUAAUUGAGGUCGCUUUAUCGAUCAGUGGCGGUGUUCUCGUAUGGCAUUAUUGCGGAAGUUGUUCUUUCGGAAGCCGCCUGAUGGGCUUUUGGAGAUCUCCGAGAGAGUUUACGUAUUUGAUUGUUGUUUCACAACUGAUGCUUGGGGAGAAGAAGAUUAUAAAUCCUAUGUUGGAAGCAUUGUUGCUCAACUACGAGAGAACUAUCCUGAUGCUUCAAUCCUGGUUUUCAAUUUCCGUGAGUUAGGAACUGAGAGCCAGAUUGCCAAUGUUUUGUCAGAGUAUGAUAUAACCAUAAUGGACUACCCACGUCAGUAUGAGGGUUGCCCAUUGCUCAAAAUGGAGGUGGUCCACCAUUUUCUAAGGUCAAGUGAAAGUUGGCUUUCCCUUGGGCAGCAAAAUGUGCUUCUAAUGCACUGUGAACGAGGUGGUUGGCCAGUUUUGGCUUUCAUAUUGGCUGCACUCUUGCUAUAUAGGAAGCAGUACACGGGGGAGCAAAGGACUUUGGACAUGAUUUAUAAACAGGCCCCUCGUGAGCUUUUGCACUUGCUGUCACCUAUGAAUCCAAUUCCUUCUCAACUAAGGUAUCUGCAGUACGUAUCUAGGAGAAAUGUGGCUGCAGAAUGGCCCCCUUUGGAUAGGGCUCUCUACUUGGACUGUGUAAUUAUCAGAUUGAUUCCAAACUUUGAUGGGGAGGGUGGUUGCCGCCCAAUAUUUCGCAUUUAUGGACCGGAUCCUUCUCAUCUUGCCGAUAGAACUCCCAAAAUUUUGUUCUCAACUCCAAAAAGGGGCAAAACCGUUCGGUAUUACAAGCAGGGGGAAAGUGAACUAGUCAAGAUAGAUAUCAACUGUGCUAUCCAGGGCGAUGUGGUGCUUGAGUGUAUCCGCCUGCAUGAUGACAUGGAAUGGGAAGAGAUGAUGUUCCGAGUAAUGUUCAACACUGGUUUUAUUAGGUCAAAUAUUUUAAUGAUUAACCGUGAUGAAAUUGACACAUUAUGGGAUGCAAGGGAUAGAUUUCCAAAGGAUUUCAGAGCAGAGGUUCUUUUCUCAGACAUGGACACUGCUGCUUCUACAGUUCCUGUAGUUUUUCCCUCUUUUGAGGAGAAGGAUGGCCUUCCAAUGGAGGCAUUUGCUAAAGUUCAGGAGAUUUUUAGCAAUGUUGAUUGGUUAGAUCCCAAGAAAGAUCCUGCACUAGAUGUUCUUCAGCAGAUAACUGCAUCAAAUUCUAUUCAAGAAAAGCCCAAUAUGCAUUCCUAUUCCCAUCAGCUUUUGGAAACUGUUACUUCAUUGCAUGAGCUAAACCCUGAAAAGCUUCCGGAGAAACAAAAGUCCAAGGAAUUGGAAAGUAGCAGUAAUAGGUCCCCAAUCUUGGAUGUAGAUCACCAGUAUGGGCUUCUCUCCAAACUGUCCCCAGUUGCAGAUGUGAGUGGACAGAAGAGGGAACAGAGACUUGUGCCAAUUUCCCCACGCACUCCACCUCCACCAUCACAUCCAUUGCAGUCUUCUUUAGUUGAUUCAGCUAGAGAACUCCUUGCUUUUCCUCCAUCUCUGUAUUCACCGCCACUACAUCUUCCAACCUCCCAAUCGGUACAUCAUUCACUCACCAAAGAAUCUGAGACCAUUCCUGAAGGACAUUCUUCCUCAAUUCCUUCACCUGCUGCAAAAACUUUGCCUUGGGCUGCUAUAUGCAGUGAUUUGUUAUCUACUCAUUCUUCCCCCUCUUCAGCUGUUCCAAUUGUGUCAUCAACCCCAUCUCCUGCACCAGUGCCUUUGAUGGGGAGUUUAGUGAGUGGAGCCAAACCUCCUCCUCUUCCAUCAUCAGCUCCAUCUCCACCUCCACCUACACCUCCAUCCGUGCAUCCUUCUCCAACUUCUCAUUUGAAAAAUUCAACUAUUUACUCUGGGAAACUGUUAACACCACCUGCUGCCCCAACUCCUCCUCCUCCUCCAGCUCAGUUGUUGAAGGAUGAUAUUACUUCUAGAACUGGACCUUACCCAAGCCAACUCCUUCCCCGAGCUCCACCACAACCUCCAUCUGUCUCUUUGAGAGACAGCCAAGCUAUGAGCAUUCUAUCUCCUUCACCUCCAACCCCACCUCCUCCUCCUCUGACCCCACCUUUGAAGGAGAAUUCAACUUUGAGAGCUAAACAUACACUGUCCCCAUCUCCUCCUCCUCUUCAUUCUGCACAAACUGUGAGGCCUAUAGUUUCUCCGUCACCACCCCCACCACCACCUCCACCCGCUGCCAGUUUUUCAACCAAUAUUAAAACUCCACCAGAAGAUUUGUCAUGUGCCCCUACUGCACCAGCCCAACCCCCACCUCCUCCUCUUUCUUCUGCACAAGCUGCAAAGCCCAUAAUUUCUCCUUCACCGCCCCCCCCACCACCUCCUCCUGUCCCCAGUUCUUCAUCCAGCAUUAGGACACCACCACAGAAUUCUUCACAUGUCCCUUCCGCACCACCCCCGGCCCCACCUCCUCCUCUUUCUUCUGCGCAAGCUUUAAAGCCUAUAAGUUCUCCUUCACCACCACCACCACCCCCCCAACCUACCCUCAGUUCUUCAUCCAAUAUCACCACUCCGCCACAGAAUUCUUUACAUGUCCCGAAUGCACCGCCCCCUCCUGUCCCUUCUGGUAAAGGAAGUGGUGUUGGGAAUUUGUCUAGUUCUCCUUCACCUGCACCUCCAAUGCCUGCCCCACCUUUUAUUUCCCCAUCUGGUGCAAAGGGAAAAGGUCUAUCACGAACUACAAGUUCAAGAAAUACUCAAACAAAGAAGUUGAGGCCAUUGCAUUGGUUGAAGUUGACAAGAGCUGUGCAAGGAAGUCUCUGGGCUGAGGCACAAAAAUCUGGUGAAGCUGCCAAGGCACCAGAGAUUGAUAUUUCAGAACUUGAGAGUCUUUUCUCAACUGCAGUUCCAAAUUCAGAUCAAAAGGGAUCAUCAGGUCAAAAAUCAGGUUCUCGUGCGUCACGGCAGAAACCGGAGAAAGUGCAACUGAUUGAACACAGACGGGCAUACAAUUGUGAGAUUAUGCUUUCAAAGGUCAAAGUACCAUUGCAUGAGUUGACGAGUUCAGUCCUUGCCUUGGAGGAUUCAGCAUUAGAUGUUGAUCAGGUUGAUAACCUCAUAAAGUUUUGUCCAACAAAAGAAGAGAUGGAGCUGCUUAAGGGUUACAGUGGAGAAAAGGAGAAGCUAGGAAAAUGUGAACAGUUCUUCUUGGAGUUAAUGCGGGUACCAAGAAUUGAAUCUAAGCUUAGAGUUUUCUCAUUUAAGAUGCAGUUCUGUUCUCAGGUUUCAGACACUAGGAAUAACCUGAAUGUUGUCAAUUCAGCAGCAGAGCAGAUCAGGAGUUCUCUUAAAUUCAAGAGAGUUAUGCAGACCAUUCUUUCAUUAGGAAAUGCUUUAAAUCAGGGAACUGCUAGGGGCUCUGCUAUUGGGUUCAGGUUGGAUAGCCUCCUCAAACUUACUGAAACGCGUGCCAGGAACAAUAAAAUGACUCUCAUGCAUUAUCUUUGUAAGGUGCUUGCUGAUAAACUACCCGAACUUCUUGAUUUUUCAAAGGAUCUUUCCAGCUUGGACCCUGCAUCAAAGAUACAAUUGAAAGUUUUGGCUGAGGAAAUGCAAGCCAUCAGCAAAGGACUGGAGAAAGUUAUACAGGAACUUUCCAUGUCCGAAAAUGAUGGUCCUAUCUCAGAAGAAUUCUGCAAGGGUUUAAAGGAAUUCCUUUCUUCUGCUGAAGCUGAAGUGAGGUCUUUGGCUUGUCUUUAUUCUGGGGUGGGUAGAAGUGUUGAUGCUUUGAUUCUUUACUUUGGUGAAGAUCCAUGUCGUUGCACAUUUGAGCAAGUUGUUUCAACUCUACUCAACUUUACCAGAAUGUUCAAUCGUGCGCACGAGGAAAACCUCAAGCAGCUUGAGCUUGAGAAAAAGAAAGCAGCGAAAGAACAAGAAACUGAGAAGUUGAAAAAAAAUCCUCCACAAUCAAACUUCGAACACUUGUUAAAUUCUUCAACCAAAACUGUCGAUUAGUUUAGUGUCACACGUUUCUCCAUGUAGUACUCUUCCUCUUCUCUACGAAUAAAAGUUUUUAUUCUCCUCUGCUGCAAGGCAAGGGGGUUUAGAAAAAAUAAAUGCAGAGGGAAGCCGGAGCAAUAGCACAGGUGGGAGGAGCUUGUACAUUUGGGUGCAGAGAAAUCUGAGAUGUAGUAGUAGAGUUGUAAAUGACACCACAAUCUGCAGAAGCCUAGAGUGUCUUCCUUGUGUGAACAGCGCGUGCGGAAUCCAUGCAAUCUUUUCCCCUUUGGGCAACAUGUAAAUUGUUACUGACAAACUGCCAGACAUAUCCAACUAAGGGAAAAUAUGAUUUCUUUCUUUCUGUCUCACUUCUGUCUACAUAAUUUCCAUGUGUUGGUGGGGUAUGCUGUAAGUGCAUUAUUGGGCGCAAUGUCUUGCGGGGUUAUGGGCCGAGGUAAUUCUUUUAUCUAAUUCGGAGUGGUAAAUAUUUUGAGUGUCUCAUUUAUUUUUUGGGCCAUAGGGUGUCGGUCCAUAAAUUUUUCCAAUGGAUUAAAAGAUUCCCCGCCUGAUGAUGAUGGGUGGGUCGAAAGGGGUAUGAGGUUUUUCACACCUACAUAUAUUUAAAAAAAAAGUUUAUUUUAAUGUAUAAAGUAUAUACAUAUAAUUUUUCUUACAUUUAGGAUUUUUGUUAUAAAGAUAAAAUCUUUUUAAUCUUUAGCUCUUCUUAAUUCUUAUUGUAAAAUUUGACCAUGGAGUCCAUCUAUUAUGUUCUCUUUUAAGAUUUUUAUUUUUUUAUUUUUAUCUUUCAAUGUUAAAAUUAUUCUAUUUAUGAAUUAUGUUUUGUAUUAUUUUAUUUUUAAGUGUACUUUUAUAAAUUAAUUAAGUAAUAAGUAUCAUAUAGAUAAUGUUAUUGGGAUGAGAAAUUAAGAAAAUUAUUUGAGAAAGAUGGGUACAGGAGAAGAUAGAUCUGGAGCCUGGAGGAGGAGUUAGCCUGUCUAAACUGGAGUGGAGUCUUCUUUCGGGCUAUUCCUGUUUACUUAUUUUACAGUAAAGAAGACAAAUAUGGUUCAGCAAGCAAAAAUUGUUUUUUGAGGGGCGAUGCAGUGGCUGGCGGUGGCAGUGUCAAUAAUAAUAAUAAAAAAGACAAAUCAGGAGAAGGGGGUGGACUGUCACAGUAGCUGCACGUCGGUGGUGGUGGUGGUGGAUGGUCGCACUGCAUCAAAGUUCUCAAAUCUUAUAUUGGGAUUCGGUGCUAAAUCUUUUUUGUGCAUGAGCAAGACAUAGGUCACGUGCCGUCGACGGUCUGGCAUUUUUGCAUUUACAUAUUUUCCUGGUUAUUAAUUAACGAGUUGCAGCAGAGAAGAGAAGAUUGGUAGAAAUGAUUCUUCCCUUCCCCACCACAAUCCCAAUACUGAAUCCCAUAAAUCCCGUUGCAUUCUUUAUUGUUUCAACUUCUGGACACGUGCUUAUAGAAAAUGGAGGUGU